AACGGGUGAGUAACACGUGAGUAACCUGCCCUUAACUCUGGGAUAAGCCUGGGAAACUGGGUCUAAUACCGGAUAUGACUCCUCAUCGCAUGGUGGGGGGUGGAAAGCUUUAUUGUGGUUUUGGAUGGACUCGCGGCCUAUCAGCUUGUUGGUGAGGUAAUGGCUUACCAAGGCGACGACGGGUAGCCGGCCUGAGAGGGUGACCGGCCACACUGGGACUGAAACACGGCCCAAACUCCUACGGGAGGCAGCAGUGGGGAAUAUUGCACAAUGGGCGCAAGCCUGAUGCAGCGACGCCGCGUGAGGGAUGACGGCCUUCGGGUUGUAAACCUCUUUCAGUAGGGAAGAAGCGAAAGUGACGGUACCUGCAGAAAAAGCGCCGGCUAACUACGUGCCAGCAGCCGCGGUAAUACGUAGGGCGCAAGCGUUAUCCGGAAUUAUUGGGCGUAAAGAGCUCGUAGGCGGUUUGUCGCGUCUGCCGUGAAAGUCCGGGGCUCAACUCCGGAUCUGCGGUGGGUACGGGCAGACUAGAGUGAUGUAGGGGAGACUGGAAUUCCUGGUGUAGCGGUGAAAUGCGCAGAUAUCAGGAGGAACACCGAUGGCGAAGGCAGGUCUCUGGGCAUUAACUGACGCUGAGGAGCGAAAGCAUGGGGAGCGAACAGGAUUAGAUACCCUGGUAGUCCAUGCCGUAAACGUUGGGCACUAGGUGUGGGGGACAUUCCACGUUUUCCGCGCCGUAGCUAACGCAUUAAGUGCCCCGCCUGGGGAGUACGGCCGCAAGGCUAAAACUCAAAGGAAUUGACGGGGGCCCGCACAAGCGGCGG
rnacentral:rRNA from 1 species